rnacentral:rRNA from 1 species
UACGUAGGGGGCUAGCGUUGUCCGGAAUCAUUGGGCGUAAGCGCGUGUAGGCGGUCCGGUAAGUCCGCUGUGAAAGUCGGGGGGCUCAACCCUCCGGAUGCCGGUGGAUACUGUCGGGCUUGAGUACGGAAGAGGCGAGUGGAAUUCCUGGUGUAGCGGUGAAAUGCGCGGAUAUCAGGAGGAACACCAAUUGCGAAGGCGCUCGC